rnacentral:misc_RNA from 1 species
GAAUUGCGAUAAGCAAUGCGAAUUGCAGAACCGUGAGUCAUCAGAUUUUUGAACGCAACUGGCGCCGGUUGGCUCUCCAACCGGCAUGCUUGUUUCAGUGUCUCUUUAUCUCAUCACCCAUAUCAUAAUGCGAGAGAUACCCUUCUCUUGCUAAGCUCGAAAGCACUCUGCGCUCUGCGAGCGGCUUCGACUUGUUCGAGGGUCGCACUCAAUGCAGCCGUCACAUUGCUCACAAUGUGAACUCAUUGAGAGCUGAGGCAGUGUAGCGUAAGCUACCAGUGCUUAGUCACACAAACUUUACUUGCAUCUGAAAUCAAGCAGGAUCACCCGCUGAACUUAAGC